UACGUAGGUGGCAAGCGUUUGUCCGGAUUUAUUGGGCGUAAAGAGCGUGUAGGCGGCUAGGUAGGUCCGUUGUGAAAACUCGAGGCUCAACCUCGAGACGCCGAUGGAAACCAUCUAGCUAGAGUCCGGAAGAGGAGAGUGGAAUUCCUGGUGUAGCGGUGAAAUGCGCAGAUAUCAGGAGGAACACCGGUGGCGAAGGCGGGUCUCUGGGCCGAUACUGACGUGAGGAGCGAAAGCGUGGGGAGCGAAACAGG
rnacentral:rRNA from 1 species